rnacentral:lncRNA from 1 species
CGAUUAAAGAUUCAUGGAGAUAAGUUUGUUGUUCUUUCAUUUAAAAUAUAACUUAACCUUUAAAUUUAUUAUUACUCCAUAACAUUAUUAUUUUUAGUGCUAACAAUAUCGAUUUAGACGGAUAACAGUGAGGUUAUCAAUCAACAUAUAAAGAGAUUACAUAGUUGCUAACAUAUUCAUUAUACAAAUAACAAAUAUGUUAGAUAGAAAUCGAAGUAAAAACUAUUGAUUACAUGUGUAACGUG